rnacentral:rRNA from 1 species
UGGGGAAUAUUGCACAAUGGGCGCAAGCCUGAUGCAGCCAUGCCGCGUGUGUGAAGAAGGCCUUCGGGUUGUAAAGCACUUUCAGCGAGGAGGAAGGUGGUGAGCUUAAUACGCUCAUCAAUUGACGUUACUCGCAGAAGAAGCACCGGCUAACUCCGUGCCAGCAGCCGCGGUAAUACGGAGGGUGCAAGCGUUAAUCGGAAUUACUGGGCGUAAAGCGCACGCAGGCGGUUUGUUAAGUCAGAUGUGAAAUCCCCGGGCUCAACCUGGGAACUGCAUUUGAAACUGGCAAGCUAGAGUCUCGUAGAGGGGGGUAGAAUUCCAGGUGUAGCGGUGAAAUGCGUAGAGAUCUGGAGGAAUACCGGUGGCGAAGGCGGCCCCCUGGACGAAGACUGACGCUCAGGUGCGAAAGCGUGGGGCAGCAAACAGGAUUAGAUACCCUGGUAGUCCACGCUGUAAACGAUGUCGAUUUUGGAGGUUGUGCCCCUUGAGGCGUGGCUUCCGGAGCUAACGCGUUAAAUCGACCGCCUGGGGAGUACGGCC